rnacentral:misc_RNA from 1 species
GAUGAAGAACGCAGCGAAAUGCGAUAAGUAAUGUGAAUUGCAGAAUUCAGUGAAUCAUCGAAUCUUUGAACGCACCUUGCACCCUUUGGACUGCUCCAAAGGGUAUGCUCGUUUGAGUGUCAUUGUACUCUCACACUCUCUGAUACUUUGGAUUUGGGGAGCGGUGGACUUGGGUGCUUGCUGCUUCCUUGUGGCUCACCUGAAAUGCAUCAGUGCAUCUCUCGAUUGGACAUAGCACGGCGUGAUAAGUGUCUUCGCCGGCACCUCAUAUGAGGGUGGCCGAUCGGGAGCUCUGUGCUUUCAAACCGUCUUCGGACAACGCUGACAACUUGACCUCAAAUCGAGUAGGACUACCCGCUGAACUUAAGCAUAUCAAUAAGCGGAGGA